UUUGCCUACGGGACGCAGCAGUGGGGAAUAUUGCACAAUGGGGGAAACCCUGAUGCAGCGACGCCGCGUGAGCGAUGAAGUAUUUCGGUAUGUAAAACUCUAUCAGCAGGGAAGAAAAUGACGGUACCUGACUAAGAAGCCCCGGCUAACUACGUGCCAGCAGCCGCGGUAAUACGUAGGGGGCAAGCGUUAUCCGGAUUUACUGGGUGUAAAGGGAGCGUAGACGGUCCUGCAAGCCAGAUGUGAAAGCCCGGGGCUCAACCCCGGAACUGCAUUUGGAACUGGAAGGCUAGA
rnacentral:rRNA from 1 species